CCUCGGGAGGCAGCAGUGGGGAAUAUUGGACAAUGGGCGAAAGCCUGAUCCAGCCAUGCCGCGUGUGUGAAGAAGGCCUUCGGGUUGUAAAGCACUUUCAGUGGGGAAGAAAGCCUUGGGGCUAAUACCCUCGAGGAAGGACAUCACCCACAGAAGAAGCACCGGCUAACUCCGUGCCAGCAGCCGCGGUAAUACGGAGGGUGCGAGCGUUAAUCGGAAUUACUGGGCGUAAAGCGCGCGUAGGCGGUCUGAUAAGCCGGUUGUGAAAGCCCCGGGCUCAACCUGGGAACGGCAUCCGGAACUGUCAGGCUAGAGUGCAGGAGAGGAAGGUAGAAUUCCCGGUGUAGCGGUGAAAUGCGUAGAGAUCGGGAGGAAUACCAGUGGCGAAGGCGGCCUUCUGGACUGACACUGACGCUGAGGUGCGAAAGCGUGGGUAGCAAACAGGAUUAGAUACCCCGGUCGUC
rnacentral:rRNA from 1 species